CACCCUGCUCCCUUUCUGGGAGUAUGGGAUUCAAGGAAACAGAACGUUCCUUCCCCUAGCAGGGUGUGUGGGGGAUGAGCAGGUGAUACCUGGUUGCUCCAACUCCUGCCCUCCCAGCACAGGGAGGGUGAUUCGCCCAGGGCAGGGGUUAAACAACUUACUCUGGCGUAAAAGGACACAGGCUGCAGGAGGCCAGAACAGAACACUUUAUGGGACAGCUACACAGGAGCAGGACCACACACCAGCCAGCCUCUGCUUGUCUCUCUCAGCCAGGCCCCUCGCAGCCUCACUUCUCUCUCUGAGGUGUUCAUCUGAGCCUGGUUGAGAGGGACCAAAAACCUGCCCCCCCUCCCACCUCCACCAAGAAAAGGUCCUGGAACUGCCGCAGCCUCUGCUUAGCACCCUCCAAGUCACUGGGCACGUGGUGCUGCAGGAGAAGCCUGAGUCGGCGGCCUGGGUGUGUGGAUGCCAGUUCCUCAUCUUGGAUGUGCAGCUGCCCCAUGACAUCCAGCUCCAGCCCAGCCCAGAGCAGCUGCAAGGGGAGCCAUCUGAACUCAGGCUCUAACACCCAGUUAAGUCCAGCCCAACCCAGCCUCCAGGGAGCCCCUUGGCAGCCAAAAGCAUCAGCUGCAAAGCUUGGUUCUAUCACCAAGGCAUUGGCCCUCCAGCUACAUGGCAGGCUGGCUGGGUGGCCCCGUGGCCCUGCAGAGCUGAGCACUUGCACUUCAGGCACUCAGCCACCAGCCGGACAGACCCCAGGCUGCCAGGGGUAGUCCUGGCACCCAGAAGACAGAUCUGCAGCUUCAAGUAUCUUUUGCGUCAGCCCUGGGACCUUCUUUGCUUGCUUAUGACAUUCUCAGCUCUGGCUAGAGUCCAGGAAGAUUACCUUAGCCCAAGCAUGAUGAGCUGUUAGAUUGGAGGGAGCAGGAGCAGGGUUCAAGACUCAAAAAUGAGCCAUGGCUCAUGGAAUCCUGUGGAUGCUUGGAUGGGAUGAAGGUGGGUGGGGGUUUCCCUGGUUCCACCCAGAACUUUCAAUCCAUCAACUGCCACCACACAGUCUGCUAUGACAAGGGGUUUUCUCCUUCAGUUGUUGAGGGCCCUCGCUUUCAGGAGACGCCAUGCCACCCCCAUCCUAAGCCCUGUAGACAGUGAGAACUUUCCAUUUCAGCUCCAGAAUCCCUUUCUCAGAAGUCUAUCCAAGCCUGCAGGUCACUGUGUCUGCAGCUGCACUAUUUAGUCCCAAUAAGAGAGAUGCCUGGGUUGGUAGUCUCUUUAAGGGAAAGGGGGAAAAUCCCUGAUAAAUCUCCCCUCCCAAGUCAAGCUUCACCUCUACCCUAAGCACACAAGAAGUGGUUGGUCUACAGAUUUUAUUUACAGGGAUGCUCAGUUAGACGUUAAACACUUUCUAGUAUCCACAUGCCUUCCCUGAAGCUACUUGGUUUCAGGUUUCUUGUCUCCGGGUUCAAGCUUGAGACUCUCGGGGGGCUGUCGAUAGGCAGGGAAGGCCUCCCACGGGCUGUUCAGGUCGAACUUGCGGAACUCCUGGGCCAACUCGACCGGCUCGGCCACGACCCGCUUCACUUCAUCAUCAUACCGUAACUGCAGAAGAGAAAGACAAGGAGGAAGACCUUGUUCAGAGCCACUAAGCUGCUUAAGGAACCUACUUUCCCCAAGCCAUGGGUGACUUCACCAACCCCAUUACUUCUCUCUCAGCAAGUCUCCACGCACACCUAUAUUACCAAUCCAGUCACAUCCCACCCUUAAUCCAAAAAGGCCUGCCAUCACCCAGCCAGGCUCCCCUGCUCACCAUCCCAUCACAAACUCUGAUCUCCGUUUCCAGCACAGCUGACUCUGCUCACCCAACCACUCUUUACAAGGAUAUGGUAAGCAUUGGUCCAGGACUAGGAAGCAAGCCAGUGGAUGAAAAAAGUCAACCUGAACUGGCAAGCACUCAUGUUCAGACCAUGUGGCUCUGGCAUUAUCACUGUCAAGAUGCAACGCAGUAAAUUUGGCAUUGCUUUUUUCGGUGGGAGAUUCAGUUAGGUAAGGUAAAGACGAACAGGUGCUGGGUGAAGAGGCAAAUCAGAUAAGGGAGACUGAAAACAAGGAGAGGGAAGGAGUCCUGACCAGAAGUAGCUGGAGAAGCAAAUGAGACUGAAAAACACUGAGAAAGCAGGCAUAUUCAGCCUGCUGUGGAAGAAAGGGCUGGAUUGUCACUAUCUCAACAUCUUUAAAAAGGUACUUUGCUACAAAAUCACGUGUGUAUGUAUGCAGUAGACUAAUCUUCCUGCUCAUAAACAACCUGUAGCACAAAGGUGGUAAAGCAAAGCACCAAAAUUCUUCAUAAGGUCCCUGUAGUCACAUGUUACUGAUCCUGCCUCUGACCAUUCUCCAUUUAGUGUCUUCCCUAUCAGCUUCCUUCUCAGAGAUCCAGAGCAGGGUAAAAUGGUCCUUCACUUUCAGAUCUUGGGGACAGACUGUGUCCUCAGGGUUGCUUUGGUCAUUAAAAUGAUCAUUAUGAUAAUGGCUAAUGCCAACUGAGUGUCUACAGUACACCAGGCUUUAAGCAUCCAUCAUUCAGCUCAUGAUAAAUCUUGUUAAGUACUACUGUUCCCAUUUUACAGCUGAGAAAACGGUCAUAGAGAAUUUCAGUAACAGGCCCUAGAUUACAAAAGUGAUGCUGGGAUUUGAAUCCAGAGCCUAUGCUCUUAAACCACCACAAUCCACAGACCAGGUUUCCUGCCCUGCCCAGGACACCCCAGUUCCCUGCCAGUCCUUCCCUGAGGCUGCUGCCCCAGUUCCAAGGUUCCUUCUACCUCAACGUAGCCAGACAGUGGAAAGUCUUUCCGGAAAGGAUGUCCUUCAAAGCCAUAGUCUGUCAGGAUCCUUCUUAGGUCAGGGUGGUUAGCAAAGAAGACUCCAAACAUGUCCCAGAUCUAGAAAAAAAAGAGGCUCUCAGGUAACUAGUCCAUUAAGGCCAACACAGAGGUGAGGACGUGCUGCAUGCAAUAGUUUCAACCAAUUCUGCAAAUCUGGCCUAGACACAGGAUCCACCAUGUCCAGUAACUUACCUCUCUCUCAUACCAGUUAGCUGCCUUAUACACAGAAACAGUGGACUCAAUGGGUGUCAGCUCAUCUGUGUAAGUCUUCACACGGAUCCGAGAGUUGAAACGCAGAGAAAGCAGGUUGUAAACAAUCUAGGGAGAAGAGAAGGAGCUGGAGGACCAAGAUGGCCACAGGGUCUGGGAUGGGAGUCCCUGAGUGAGAACAAUGAUGAGGACACAAGGUGGGUUAGGGUUCUCUACUUGUGAACAUGUCUUCUGUCCUGAAGCUCAAAAAUUUCAAGAUCCUCUUACAUUUACAACUACUUACAAAGGCCUAAGCCAUGCUAUAGCUUAGCGAGUCAGCAUGCUUGUCUUUGCAAAUGCUAUUCUCUCUGUCUGGGAUGACUCUGGACCCCCCUCUCCCAGCCCCAAUCCUUACUGGGGUAAUUCUGGUCUCUUGGUCAUUCACAAAGAUUCAGCACAAACAUUCUCUGUUCAAGGCCUCCCAGACAGGGCUAAGUGCCCCUCCUGUGUUCUCAUAACAUCUAACGUCCCAUGUGUUAUAUGUUACAACGGUCAGCUUUUUACGUAUCCUUCUCCCUCACUAGAGCUGGGGGACUCCUUGAAGGUAGGUAUUGCAUGUUACUUCUCCCUUGUUCCAAGAUCUGACAAAUAGCAGAUGAUCAGUAAAAAAAAAAUUUUUUUUUUAAAGAUUUAUU